rnacentral:rRNA from 1 species
AGCUUGGGUAGUAUGAGGUGCUCUUGAAACCUGAGGGUUUUGGCGGUCUUCUUUCUUAUUAGAGGAAUUUGCCCUGUGAUCGAUAAUCCUCGUUUUAUUUUACUUGAUUGGUGUUUGUAUAUCGCUGUUGAUGGUUUCUUUUGAGUGGGAUUCUAGUUAAACUAUUUCGUUACAUCAAGUCAAGGUGCAGCUUGUAUUUAAGUUUGAGGUGAGUUACAAUAAAAUGUUGUGGAUUGUUAUGUGUAAUAUUAAUUUGAUAUUGGAUUUAAUAGUAAUUUGAUAUUAAUG